GUCCUUUUGAAUUUUAUAAAAGGUCUGACCUGCCCAGUGAUAAUUUUAACGGCCGCGGUAUACUGACCGUGCAAAGGUAGCAUAAUCAUUAGUCUUUUAAUAGAGGGCUGGAAUGAAAGGUUUAACGAGGAAUUGACUGUCUCAUUUUAUUUGUUUUAGAAUUUAAUUUUUUAGUCAAAAAGCUAAAAUUUUAUUGGAAGACGAGAAGACCCUAUAGAUCUUUAUAAAGCUUUGUUUAAUUAUUUUUAUAUUAAUUUAUUUAAACGAUUCUUUAUUUUGUUGGGGUGACAAAAAUAUAUAUAUAACUUUUUUAUUUAUUUAACAUUAAUUUAUGAUUAUUAGAUCCAUUAUUAGUGAUUGAUAGAUUAAGUUACCUUAGGGAUAACAGCGUAAUCCUCCCCCAGAGUUCAUAUUUACGGGAUGGGCUUGCGACCUCGAUGUUGGAUUAAGAUGAUAAUUAGGUGUAGCCGCUUAAUUUAUAGGUCUGUUCGACCUUUAAACUCUU
rnacentral:rRNA from 1 species